GACAGAGGGGGCAAGCGUUGCUCGGAAUCACUGGGCGUAAAGCGCACGUAGGCGGGUCGUUAAGUCGGGGGUGAAAUCCUGGAGCUCAACUCCAGAACUGCCUUCGAUACUGGCGACCUUGAGUCCGGGAGAGGUGAGUGGAACUCCGAGUGUAGAGGUGAAAUUCGUAGAUAUUCGGAAGAACACCAGUGGCGAAGGCGGCUCACUGGCCCGGUACUGACGCUGAGGUGCGAAAGGCGUGGGGAGCAAACAGG
rnacentral:rRNA from 1 species